rnacentral:rRNA from 1 species
GUGCCAGCAGCCGCGGUAACACCGGCAACCCAAGUGAUGGCCGAUAUUAUUGGGCCUAAAGCGUCCGUAGCUGGCCGCGCAAGUUCGUCGGGAAAUCCACUCGCUUAACGAGUGGGCGUCCGGCGAAAACUGUGCGGCUUGGGACCGGAAGAUCCAAGGGGUACGUCCGGGGUAGGAGUGAAAUCCCGUAAUCCUGGACGGACCACCGAUGGCGAAAGCACCUUGGAAGGACGGAUCCGACAGUGAGGGACGAAAGCCAGGGUCUCCAACCGGAUUAGAAACCCGAGUAGUCC